CAGGCGGCGCUCCUGCGGCCACCACCUCCAACCCUCCUCCCACCUCCAACCUUCCUCCGUUCAGAGUGGUCCCAGCCGACAACGUGCGCCUCCUCUAGGAAGAGGUUGUGGAGAAGCGGAGGCUGCAGAGGCAAGGCGACCUCACCUCCCACCCCGACCUCGGCGGCGCACCUCCCGGAUCAGACCCAACCCCCGCACCACCUGGGUCCCUCCCCCAUGCCAUUACAGCCUCCACCUUCGACGUCCAUUAUCUUCUCGAGAUCCGCAACCACCUGCACCCAAACUGUUCGAUCAAUCGACCCAACAGACAGGAGCCUAGAGAAUGGGAGAAAGAGGAGAUGCGGGCGUUGGCACAGUGCUGAACCACCGACGCGACGGAAAGAUGAGUAUGUCCUUGCUGCCAGCCCGUGUCUCGGCAGCCAGUACGAACACGUUCUCGUGUGCCUCCGCCAAGCUGAUUCGGUGCCGACAAUUGUCAUCUUCGUAAAAUUUAGAUGUUCUUAAUUUUUCUUUUCUUCUAAAAUGAACAUAGUUGUGAGCUUCUUUGUUGGGUAGUCAAAUUCUGGUGGAAUUAAUAGUAUAAUUUGUAUUUUUGUUUUUAAGUCUUACGCAUCUGGUGAACCCAAGGCUGUCCACAUGCAUUUUGAACAUUCAUUAAGUCUUGAUCGGUUAGCUGGGGAGGCUAUUAACAAUCUUAAAAAGACCAGGUUUUUACCAUUAAGCACAUGCUCCAGAAAUGCUAUACAUGUUCUCCCCUAUGUUCUUUUUGGUAAUCCAAUUAUUGUAUCACUGCCUGACCUGUGCUAGGUCUGAAUUUGAGGGUUUACUUGAGAAAACUUCUGCUGAAGUUAAUGGUUCCCUGUCAAAUCUGCACAUAUGUAACUGCAGCAAGAAACUGCUGGUGGUGCACAAGCUAGGAUCAGCUGGAACGUCCUACUGAAUACCUUCAUGGAGACAAUUGUAAGCAUUCCAAGAUUGUAUUACCUUGGCCCAGCUUAAGUUUUUACACUUUGCUUAAUAUGGGAUAGUGCAUCAUUGAGCCAUGUAUAUCUGCUUCAUUUUACAUGACUGGACUUACUUGCUUUACAAAAAUAUUGCAGCAGAAAUAUUUUCCUUUGACUAUGGCUUCAUAGAUCUCUCUGAAUCUUAGGUUUCAUGUUACUCACCACUGUUUUUAUUAAUGAUGUAACUUAGGUUUGAAGAUUAUUUCUCCAACGAUGUGGAGCCGCUGACGCUUACUCUCCCUGAAGACUCAAUGGCCAGCUCAGGUGCUUCCUUCAGUCUGAUCUGCAGCAAAACGUUUUCCACGACCUCUUGAAUUCUCAUCGAUGGAUCCAAGUCAAAAUAAAAUUGUUUUGCCAACUAAAGCACUUAUGAAUUGUUCCUCUAAUUUGGCAUUCUUUUCAGACACUAUACUAAUGGUGAAGUUGCUAUUAUGAUGUCCGUUGCUUAUUUAAUGAUGGCUGAAGUGUACUGACAUCAUAUUCAUACAAUAUAGUUUGUCAUUAUCAGCUAGCUUAAAUGGUAUUCACUGGUUGCUUUGCGUGGCACUUGCUUGAGUUGAGUGAUACUCUUAUUCCUGUCCCAACAUCGUGGUUUGGGAAAAAGUGGUGUACGAAUGGCUUCGGAGGAUAGCUUGCACGAGGUACUUAAGGUAAGCCUACUUAUGUUAUUAUAGGCACAUCUGUUCUAUUUUAAAUCAUCAGGAAAUGAGCAUACUGCAUCUUUUUGGUUCUAUAAUUUUGGAUGUUAGGUGGCUUAUGUAGUGCCCUGUUAGUUUGUCAGGUUCUCUGAAAAGGCAUUCAAGAAGGGAUGAAGCAAUCUUCUACUUAAUUCGGGAGCUCUUCCUUGUCAUUGUUAAUGAUACUAUGAUACUCUGAUUCCAUGAGUCCAUGAAACAAGCAAUAAUCUAUCUCAAAAAUUUGUGUCCAAGCAUAUAACAGUACUACAACUUACGAGUUCUGACUAUGGAUAUGUAGCACGCUGACAAGACAAGAGAAUAAUGCCUCUAAGGUUCUGAUAUGAGCUUCGUGAAUUAGCAAAAUUUUGUUCUCAUGGAUGACUGCAAUUAUGAGUAGUUUUUACAUUUUUUUUACUGAUGCAGGCAUUUGUCCCAGCUAUGCCGCUUCCCAUCAAACUCGAGCUCAGCGCUCCGUCUGCACUCGAGCACAGCUGUCGGCCAUCAGCUCGCUCGAGCAAACACGCUGGCCGUCCCCGCAUGAUCUCCUCCCAGCCUUCUGACAUGUUAUUUUUGCAUGCAAGGCUAAGCUAUCUCCACCGGCUCCUUUUUCUGUUGGAGCUCCUCCCUACCCUGGCAAAACCAAAUGCUACCAUCUCCUUUCCUUGGCAUGCUAAAACUUAUGUCAGUUCAUUGUCAUGGAUAGAUUAGUGAGGAUGAGAUUGGGAUCUUUACACUACAGAGGAUGAGGAGCUAUAUGGGCUACGAAAUGUUGCUUGAGGUGUGGUUCUGGGACCUGCUGUUGUUCAAAUUACAGUUCCCUUAUUUAGAACUAGGCAUUCCCACUGAUACUGACCAUACUUGGAGCAUUUCCAGCAGUGGCAGUAGACACAUGUGGCACCACUUCUUGGUAGAUUUUGUCCAUUUACUUUUUGUAUCCUUUGAAUUAGAAUAUUCUGUGCAAGAUUUGAGUUUGAAUCUGGUCAAAUUAAUCUUGUACUCUCUGAAUUUAAAUAAUGUCUCGUAUCUUACUAAAUUUUGUUUUGUAUUGGAAGUAUUUUUUUUCUUCAAAUUCUCCGAUGAUUCUGAAACAUAGCGGUAAUUUUUGCAGGGUUCUAUGGUACAACAUCAAGUUUUACUCUUACACCUAUGAGAAACUUUUACCUACCUAAUAACCGCCUAUUUUACUCUCCAAUGGAUCAGCCCAUAGAUAAGCAAGCAACUGAGCUAGAUGUUCAUGGUUGAGUGCCCUAACCCAGGCUCGAAGUCAACUUAGGCCUGAGUUUUCUUGAAGUUCUUAAAUUGGCAGUAUGGAAAUUGAAUACCUUAAUUCUUCGCUAUAUUUGUGAUACACUAAAUGUUUAUCGUGAUGUUCUUGCCGUUGAUGCUUUUCCUUGCCGAAUGGCAUUUGAGAGAGGGAAAGAACGUCAAUUCUGCUUUUUAGUUGUAUCUAACAAAAUAUCUGGGUGGAUUAUUUUUUUUAUGAAGAAUUACCUCGACGUACAUUAAGAUGGCAUUGUUCUCAUGUACAGGCUCCAUAAAUGGACCCGAUGUACAGAUUAGCAUUACGACAUAAAAUUUUGUUGUGGAUAAUAAAUCUAGUGAAAAAAGAUUGGGCACAAUUUAUUUCCUCUCAAA